AGAGCGAACGCUGGCGGCAGGCCUAAUACAUGCAAGUCGAACGGAUCCUUCGGGAUUAGUGGCGGACGGGUGAGUAACACGUGGGAACGUGCCCUUUGGUUCAGGACAACUCAGGGAAACUUGAGCUAAUACUGGAUAAGCCCUUCGGGGGAAAGAUUUAUCGCCAUUGGAGCGGCCCGCGUCUGAUUAGCUAGUUGGUAGGGUAAAGGCCUACCAAGGCUACGAUCAGUAGCUGGUCUGAGAGGAUGAUCAGCCACACUGGGACUGAGACACGGCCCAGACUCCUACGGGAGGCAGCAGUAGGGAAUCUGCGCAAUGGGCGAAAGCCUGACGCAGCCAUGCCGCGUGAAUGAUGAAGGUCUUAGGAUUGUAAAAUUCUUUCAGCGGGGACGAUAAUGACGGUACCCGCAGAAGAAGCCCGGCUAACUUCGUGCCAGCAGCCGC
rnacentral:rRNA from 1 species